rnacentral:rRNA from 1 species
CAGGGAUUGCCCUAGUAACGGCGAGUGAAGCGGCAUCAGCUCAAAUUUGAAAUCUGGCUCUUUCAGGGUCCGAGUUGUAAUUUGCAGAGGGCGCUUUGGUGUUGGCAGCGGUCCAAGUUCCUUGGAACAGGACGUCACAGAGGGUGAGAAUCCCGUACGUGGUCGCUGGCCUUCGCCGUGUAAAGCCCCUUCGACGAGUCGAGUUGUUUGGGAAUGCAGCUCUAAAUGGGAGGUAAAUUUCUUCUAAAGCUAAAUACUGGCCAGAGACCGAUAGCGCACAAGUAGAGUGAUCGAAAGAUGAAAAGCACUUUGGAAAGAGAGUCAAAUAGCACGUGAAAUUGUUGAAAGGGAAGCGCUUGCAGCCAGACUUGCCUGUAGUUGCUCAUCUAGGCUCUUUGCCUAGUGCACUCUUCUGCGGGCAGGCCAGCAUCAGUCUAGGCGGUUGGAUAAAGGCCUCUGUCAUGUACCUCCUCUCGGGGAGGCCUUAUAGGGGAGGCGUAAUGCAACCAGCCUGGACUGAGGUCCGCGCAUCUGCUAGGAUGCUGGCGUAAUGGCUGUAAGCGGCCCGUCUUGAAACACGGACCAAGGAGUCUAACAUCUAUGCGAGUGUUUGGGUGUCAAGCCCGAGCGCGUAAUGAAAGUGAACGGAGGUGGGAUCCCUUUAGGGUGCACCAUCGACCGAUCCUGAUGUCUUCGGAUGGGNNNNNNNNNNNNNNNNNNNNNNNNNNNNNNNAAGAUGGUGAACUAUGCUUGAAUAGGGUGAAGCCAGAGGAAACUCUGGUGGAGGCUCGCAGCGGUCUGACGUGCAAAUCGAUCGUCAAAUUUGGGCAUAGGGGCGAAAGACUAAU